GGGUUGUGAGGUUAAGCGACUAAGCGUACACGGUGGAUGCCCUGGCAGUCAGAGGCGAUGAAGGACGUGCUAAUCUGCGAAAAGCGUCGGUAAGGUGAUAUGAACCGUUAUAACCGGCGAUGUCCGAAUGGGGAAACCCAGUGCAAUUCGUUGCACUAUCGUUAACUGAAUACAUAGGUUAACGAGGCGAACCGGGGGAACUGAAACAUCUAAGUACCCCGAGGAAAAGAAAUCAACCGAGAUUCCCCCAGUAGCGGCGAGCGAACGGGGAGCAGCCCAGAGUCUGAAUCAGCUUGUGUGUUAGUGGAACGGUCUGGAAAGUCCGACGGUACAGGGUGAUAGUCCCGUACACCAAAAUGCACAGGCUGUGAACUCGAAGAGUAGGGCGGGACACGUGGUAUCCUGUCUGAAUAUGGGGGGACCAUCCUCCAAGGCUAAAUACUCCUGACUGACCGAUAGUGAACCAGUACCGUGAGGGAAAGGCGAAAAGAACCCCGGCGAGGGGAGUGAAAAAGAACCUGAAACCGUGUACGUACAAGCAGUGGGAGCACCUUCGGGUGUGACUGCGUACCUUUUGUAUAAUGGGUCAGCGACUUAUAUUCUGUAGCAAGGUUAACCGUAUAGGGGAGCCGCAGGGAAACCGAGUCUUAACUGGGCGUUAAGUUGCAGGGUAUAGACCCGAAACCCGGUGAUUCAGCCAUGGGCAGGUUGAAGGUUGGGUAACACUAACUGGAGGACCGAACCGACUAAUGUUGAAAAAUUAGCGGAUGACUUGUGGCUGGGGUGAAAGGCCAAUCAAACCGGGAGAUAGCUGGUUCUCCCCGAAAGCUAUUUAGGUAGCGCCUCGUGAAUUCAUCUUCGGGGGUAGAGCACUGUUUCGGCUAGGGGGUCAUCCCGACUUACCAACCCGAUGCAAACUACGAAUACCGAAGAAUGUUAUCACGGGAGACACACGGCGGGUGCUAACGUCCGUCGUGAAGAGGGAAACAACCCAGACCGCCAGCUAAGGUCCCAAAGUCAUGGUUAAGUGGGAAACGAUGUGGGAAGGCACAGACAGCCAGGAUGUUGGCUUAGAAGCAGCCAUCAUUUAAAGAAAGCGUAAUAGCUCACUGGUCGAGUCGGCCUGCGCGGAAGAUGUAACGGGGCUAAACCAUGCACCGAAGCUGCGGCAGCGACACUAUGUGUUGUUGGGUAGGGGAGCGUUCUGUAAGCCUGCGAAGGUGUGCUGUGAGGCAUGCUGGAGGUAUCAGAAGUGCGAAUGCUGACAUAAGUAACGAUAAAGCGGGUGAAAAGCCCGCUCGCCGGAAGACCAAGGGUUCCUGUCCAACGUUAAUCGGGGCAGGGUGAGUCGACCCCUAAGGCGAGGCCGAAAGGCGUAGUCGAUGGGAAACAGGUUAAUAUUCCUGUACUUGGUGUUACUGCGAAGGGGGGACGGAGAAGGCUAUGUUAGCCGGGCGACGGUUGUCCCGGUUUAAGCAUGUAGGCUGGUUAUCCAGGCAAAUCCGGAUAAUCAAGGCUGAGGUGUGAUGACGAGGCACUACGGUGCUGAAGUAACAAAUGCCCUGCUUCCAGGAAAAGCCUCUAAGCAUCAGGUAACAUCAAAUCGUACCCCAAACCGACACAGGUGGUCAGGUAGAGAAUACCAAGGCGCUUGAGAGAACUCGGGUGAAGGAACUAGGCAAAAUGGUGCCGUAACUUCGGGAGAAGGCACGCUGGUGUGUAGGUGAAGUCCCUGCGGAUGGAGCUGAGACCAGUCGAAGAUACCAGCUGGCUGCAACUGUUUAUUAAAAAAAAACACAGCACUGUGCAAACACGAAAGUGGACGUAUACGGUGUGACGCCUGCCCGGUGCCGGAAGGUUAAUUGAUGGGGUUAUCCGUAAGGAGAAGCUCUUGAUCGAAGCCCCGGUAAACGGCGGCCGUAACUAUAACGGUCCUAAGGUAGCGAAAUUCCUUGUCGGGUAAGUUCCGACCUGCACGAAUGGCGUAAUGAUGGCCAGGCUGUCUCCACCCGAGACUCAGUGAAAUUGAACUCGCUGUGAAGAUGCAGUGUACCCGCGGCAAGACGGAAAGACCCCGUGAACCUUUACUAUAGCUUGACACUGAACAUUGAGCCUUGAUGUGUAGGAUAGGUGGGAGGCUUUGAAGCGUGGACGCCAGUCUGCGUGGAGCCAACCUUGAAAUACCACCCUUUAAUGUUUGAUGUUCUAACGUUGGCCCCUUACCGGGGUUGCGGACAGUGUCUGGUGGGUAGUUUGACUGGGGCGGUCUCCUCCCAAAGCGUAACGGAGGAGCACGAAGGUUAGCUAAUCCUGGUCGGACAUCAGGAGGUUAGUGCAAUGGCAUAAGCUAGCUUGACUGCGAGCGUGACGGCGCGAGCAGGUGCGAAAGCAGGUCAUAGUGAUCCGGUGGUUCUGAAUGGAAGGGCCAUCGCUCAACGGAUAAAAGGUACUCCGGGGAUAACAGGCUGAUACCGCCCAAGAGUUCAUAUCGACGGCGGUGUUUGGCACCUCGAUGUCGGCUCAUCACAUCCCGGGGCUGAAGUAGGUCCCAAAGGGUAUGGCUGUUCGCCAUUUAAAGUGGUACGCGAGCUGGGUUUAGAACGUCGUGAGACAGUUCGGUCCCUAUCUGCCGUGGGCGCUGGAGAAUUGAGGGGGGGGCUGCUCCUAGUACGAGAGGACCGGAGUGGACGCAUCACUGGUGUUCGGGUUGUCAUGCCAAUGGCACUGCCCGGUAGCUAAAUGCGGAAGAGAUAAGUGCUGAAAGCAUCUAAGCACGAAACUUGCCCCGAGAUGAGUUCUCCCUGAGACUUUAAGUCUCCUGAAGGAACGUUGAAGACGACGACGUUGAUAGGCCGGGUGUGUAAGCGCAGCGAUGCGUUGAGCUAACCGGUACUAAUGAACCGUGAGGCUUAACCUUACAACGCCGAAG
rnacentral:rRNA from 1 species